rnacentral:rRNA from 1 species
CCCUUUAAUGUUUGAUGUUCUAACGUGGGCCCCUAAUCGGGGUUGCGGACAGUGUCUGGUGGGUAGUUUGACUGGGGCGGUCUCCUCCUAAAGAGUAACGGAGGAGCACGAAGGUUGGCUAAUCCUGGUCGGACAUCAGGAGGUUAGUGCAAUGGCAUAAGCCAGCUUGACUGCGAGCGUGACGGCGCGAGCAGGUGCGAAAGCAGGUCAUAGUGAUCCGGUGGUUCUGAAUGGAAGGGCCAUCGCUCAACGGAUAAAAGGUACUCCGGGGAUAACAGGCUGAUACCGCCCAAGAGUUCAUAUCGACGGCGGUGUUUGGCACCUCGAUGUCGGCUCAUCACAUCCUGGGGCUGAAGUAGGUCCCAAGGGUAUGGCUGUUCGCCAUUUAAAGUGGUACGCGAGCUGGGUUUAGAACGUCGUGAGACAGUUCGGUCCCUAUCUGCCGUGGGCGCUGGAGAACUGAGGGGGGCUGCUCCUAGUACGAGAGGACCGGAGUGGACGCAUCACUGGUGUUCGGGUUGUCAUGCCAAUGGCACUGCCCGGUAGCUAAAUGCGGAAGAGAUAAGUGCUGAAAGCAUCUAAGCACGAAACUUGCCCCGAGAUGAGUUCUCCCUGA